rnacentral:rRNA from 1 species
UACAGAGGGUGCAAGCGUUAUCCGGAUUCACUGGGUUUAAAGGGUGCGUAGGAGGGCAGGUAAGUCAGUGGUGAAAUCUUCGAGCUUAACUCGGAACUGCCGUUGAUACUAUCUGUCUUGAAUACCGUGGAGGUGAGCGGAAUAUGUCAUGUAGCGGUGAAAUGCUUAGAUAUGACAUAGAACACCAAUUGCGAAGGCAGCUCGCUACACGAAUAUUGACUCUGAGGCACGAAAGCGUGGGGAUCAAACAGG